ACAAAAAAAAAGAGUCCGCAGGAAACGCGACCGCAAGGAUCAGCCUUGAUUUACAAAAAAGCGCCGCUGUUGGAAGAGUACAACAGUUCGUACGAAAGCCGUGUGUGUCUUCCCAGUAAUGGCGGCAUGCUCUUCACAGAGAGACACUCUCGCCCAGCGGAUUUCAUCAGUUCCCAUCAGAUCCCUCACACCACUGCCGCUGAACUGCAGACCCAAACCAUGACAAACACUCUACCAUGUUUUGCUGAUGACUCUAGACACUCCCUGUUUUACCCCUGCCCUGAUCUCCUCUACACAUACUGAUGAUGAUUUCAACUGAGAAAAACUUCAAAUGUGGAUUCGUCACUCCUGUUGCCACUGAUCUUUUCUUCUUGUUCCCUUUCCUUAGGAAUGGCUUCUUGACAGCCACCUUAUCAAGAGAGGAACUAAUUACAAAAUGAUUUGAUUGUGACAGACUGCUAGUAACAAAAGUGUCUAAAGAAACAAAUUUAAUUAGUCUCUUUGUUAAUUUUUCUGAUAUCUGCUAUGUGUAGAAAACCAGGUGUGGUUCAUCUUUUGAGUUAGGUUCCUUUUUUAUGGUUGAAUGAUUCAUAGGUCAAUACUAAGUGGUUCACUUAGCAUUGAUGAUUGGCUGAGGACUUUUGCACAGAACUGUUGCUUAAUAGAUUUAAAUAGUUAAUGGCUGAAUCAUUUGUGAUAGAUUUGUUGUGCAUUCACCCAAGGACUCCCACCUAAACUGUUAUUGAACAGCAGAGAGAGGAAAUGUUUAAUGCCUUUCCUGAGAAAAAUUAAUCAUCUUAAAGGUUAGUCCUAAUUAUAAGUGUUGUUCGCUGAGUUAUGUGCUCGUCAAGAGUUAUUGCGAAGUGUUUUCUACUUUGAUUAAAGCCAUUUAAAAAAUUACGCUUUUAAGGCAGAGAGUUGAGAUACAUUGGAGAAAUAUCUGCAGUGUCGUACAAGACAACAGCCUGUACUAAUAGCUCAAACAGAUGUUUAGUGUCUAGCAGUGAGACCCUCUCUUGAAAUUCUUUCUCUCUCUCUCUCUCAUUCACUCGCUUCCUCUCUCUCCCUGUUAGUCCUUCCUUGAACUCUCAAGAACAUGCAAUUCCGAUCUGGUAAUCUAAACUCUGUGUGAUAUGAAAACAAAUAGUUUGUGUGGCCGUAGAACUCAAUUUAUUGUUUUGAACUGGAAUUUGGCACUUUAGGGGAUAUUUAAGACUAAACCAUUGUAAACAAUAGAGCCAUCGUGUUUAAAGGUUUAUUACUGUAUUCAACCUCCUGAAGUGUUGGAUAGCAGAAUCAAAACAUAGCAGAAAAUCAUUUGUAAUAAAAAAAAUAGGAAAGAAAUUAUGUUGUUCUUACAUAAGUUAUUAAAUUGAAGUACAUAAUGUGCACUAUGUGUGUUCUGACAAGCUUGAAUUGUGACCCACCAUUAAAUACACAGUCAAACAGG